rnacentral:rRNA from 1 species
UACGAAGGGUGCAAGCGUUGUCCGGAAUUAUUGGGCGUAAAGAGCUCGUAGGCGGCUUGUCGCGUCGGAUGUGAAAGCCCGGGGCUUAACUCCGGGUCUGCAUUCGAUACGGGCAGGCUAGAGUUCGGUAGGGGAGAUCGGAAUUCCUGGUGUAGCGGUGAAAUGCGCAGAUAUCAGGAGGAACACCGGUGGCGAAGGCGGUUCUCUGGGCCGAUACUGACGCUGAGGAGCGAAAGCGUGGGGAGCGAACAGG